AGGUUCCCCCCAGGGCAACAUGCCAGCCCCGUAGCACUGCCCACCCCACCCACUGUGGUCUGUUGUACCCCACUGCUGGGGUGGUGGUUCCAAUGAGACAGGGCACACCAAGCUCCAUCUGUGCUACAACUCAGUUGCUUAUUGAAAUGAAGAGGGAGUUUGCAAGCUGAAAAUGGAUAUGAGCUACCCUGGAGGAAUUUUUUCUUGGCUGUUACUGAGGCGGAGACACGGGUGAUGAUUGGCUUUCUGGGGAGAGAGGAAGUCCUGUGAUUGGCCAGAUCUCUGGAGCUCGCCGACGCGGUGUGAGGACGCUCCCACGGAGGCCGGAAUUGGCUGUGAAAGGACUGAGGCAGCCAUCUGG
rnacentral:sRNA from 1 species